rnacentral:rRNA from 1 species
AUGAACGCUGGCGACGUGGAUAAGGCAUGCAAGUCAAGGGGGCCCGCAAGGGCAACCGGCAGACGAGGUAGUAAGACGUAGGUACGUACCCAGAAGUCGGGCAUAGCUCGUCGAAAGACGGGGUAAUUCUCGAUAGUCUCGUAAGAGUAAAGAUUUUUCGCUUCUGGAGCGGCCUGCGGAGUAUCAGCUAGUUGGUAAGGUAAUGGCUUACCAAGGCUAUGACGCUUAGGGGAGGUGAGAGCCUGACCCCCACCGAUGGGACUGAGACACGGCCCAUACACCUACGGGUGGCUGCAGUCGAGAAUCUUCCGCAAUGGGCGAAAGCCUGACGGAGCGACGUCGCGUGAUGGAUGAAGCACUUCGGUGCGUAAACAUCUUUUAUCGGGGAGAAAAUUUUGAUAGUACCCGAUGAAUAAGGGGUUGCUAAACUCGU